UACGUAGGGGGCUAGCGUUGUCCGGAUUUAUUGGGCGUAAAGAGCGUGUAGGCGGCCAUGUAGGUCCGGUGUGAAAACUCGAGGCUUAACCUCGAGAUGUCAUCGGAAACCAUUUGGCUAGAGUCCGGAAGAGGAGAGUGGAAUUCCUGGUGUAGCGGUGAAAUGCGCAGAUAUCAGGAAGAACACCAAUGGCGAAAGCAGCUCUCUGGGCAUUAACUGACGCUGAGGAGCGAAAGCAUGGGGAGCGAACAGG
rnacentral:rRNA from 1 species